rnacentral:lncRNA from 1 species
CCGAGUGUGACAGACCGAGCCGGCCGGCCGCCUGGGCCCCCAGAGACCCCGCCAUGGUUCGUGCGGGCGCCGUGGGGACGCAUCUCCCCACGUCCAGCCUGGACAUCUUUGGGGACUUGAGGAAGAUGAACAAACGACAGCUUUACUACCAGGUCCUAAACUUUGCCAUGAUUGUGUCUUCUGCGCUCAUGAUAUGGAAAGGCUUAAUUGUGCUCACGGGCAGUGAGAGUCCCAUCGUGGUGGUACUGAGUGGCAGUAUGGAGCCGGCCUUUCACAGGGGAGAUCUGCUGUUCCUCACAAAUUUCCGGGAGGAUCCCAUCAGAGCUGGUGAAAUAGUUGUUUUUAAAGUUGAAGGAAGAGACAUUCCGAUAGUUCACAGAGUAAUCAAGGUUCAUGAAAAGUAAAGAGGCUUUACUUGCUUUUACUUUGGUAGUGUAAAUUUUGGUCAAUGUUUUUAAAGAGCAGUGAGAAGUCGGAAGAGUGAGAUUUGUUCUCAUUCUGCUGUUUAUUAACCCGGCCACUUUGCACCAGUGACAUGACUUGGUCUGUAAACCGGGAGGGACAGUAUUUUACCCACAACUCACAGGGUGAUUAUGAGGGCUAAGGGAGAUAAUGUUUACUAAAAUGUGUAAAAAAUAAAAUAAAAAGACAAGGGAAAACAAAUCCAGACGGCUACACAAACGCAGGGGCCUAUUAACUGCUCAAAGGAGUCUCUCAGAGUCACGUGCUAACCACACUGACUGCUCCGACACCAGGAUUUCCUUCUGACGUAUAAUAAAGCUAGCUGUUCCUCUGUCUUACUUUAGCCAAAGGGACAUUUUUUAAGCAGUAACUUCAGUCCUUGCUGGAUAAAACCUCC